CAGUAGCCGCGGGAAUACAGAGGGUGCGAGCGUUAAUCGGAUUUACUGGGCGUAAAGCGUGCGUAGGCGGCUUCUUAAGUCGGAUGUGAAAUCCCUGAGCUUAACUUAGGAAUUGCAUUCGAUACUGGGAAGCUAGAGUAUGGGAGAGGAUGGUAGAAUUCCAGGUGUAGCGGUGAAAUGCGUAGAGAUCUGGAGGAAUACCGAUGGCGAAGGCAGCCAUCUGGCCUAAUACUGACGCUGAGGUACGAAAGCAUGGGGAGCAAACAGGAUUAGAUAUCCCCGUAGUCCCUGUCUCUUAUAC
rnacentral:rRNA from 1 species